GUAUGACUGUGUGGAUGGUGUUCAGCACCAAGGACAGGUAUGUACAUGUAUCACUGUGUUGAUGGUGUUCAGCACCAAGGACAGGCAUGUACAUGU
rnacentral:pre_miRNA from 1 species